rnacentral:misc_RNA from 1 species
AACACUGUUAACCUGCGGUACCUGCGGAAGGAUCAUUACAGAGUUGCAAAACUCCCUAAACCAUUGUGAACGUUACCUAAACCGUUGCUUCGGCGGGCGGCCCGGGUCCUUCCCGGCGCCCCUCGGCCCUCGCGGGCGCCCGCCGGAGGUAAACCAAACUAUCGCAUUGUAUGGCCUCUCUGAGUCUUCUGUACUGAAUAAGUCAAAACUUUCAACAAUGGAUCUCAGAUCGGAAGAGCA